rnacentral:rRNA from 1 species
UACGAAGGGUGCAAGCGUUACUCGGAAUUACUGGGCGUAAAGGGUGCGUAGGUGGUUUGUUAAGUCUGCUGUGAAAUCCCCGGGCUCAACCUGGGAAUGGCAGUGGAUACUGGCAAGCUAGAGUACGGUAGGGGCAGAGGGAAUUUCCGGUGGAGCGGUGAAAUGCGUAGAGAUCGGAAAGAACACCAACGGCGAAAGCACUCUGCUGGGCCGACACUGACACUGAGAGACGAAAGCUAGGGGAGGGAAUGGG